GAUGAACGCUGGCGGCGUGCUUAACACAUGCGAGUCGAACGAUGAAGCCCAGCUUGCUGGGCGGAUUAGUGGCGAACGGGUGAGUAACACGUGAGUAACCUGCCCUUGACUCUGGGAUAAGCCCGGGAAACUGGGUCUAAUACCGGAUAGGAGCGCCUGUCGCAUGACGGGUGCUGGAAAGAUCUUUCGGUCAUGGAUGGACUCGCGGCCUAUCAGCUUGUUGGUGAGGUAACGGCUCACCAAGGCGACGACGGGUAGCCGGCCUGAGAGGGUGACCGGCCACACUGGGACUGAGACACGGCCCAGACCCCUACGGGAGGCAGCAGUGGGGAAUAUUGCACAAUGGGCGAAAGCCUGAUGCAGCGACGCCGCGUGAGGGAUGACGGCCUUCGGGUGGUAAACCUCUUUCAGCAGGGAAGAAGCGAAAGUGACGGUACCUGCAGAAGAAGCACCGGCUAACUACGU
rnacentral:rRNA from 1 species